rnacentral:rRNA from 1 species
GCCAGACUCCUACGGGAGGCAGCAGUGGGGAAUAUUGCACAAUGGGGGAAACCCUGAUGCAGCGACGCCGCGUGAGUGAAGAAGUAAUUCGUUAUGUAAAGCUCUAUCAGCAGGGAAGAAAAUGACGGUACCUGAGUAAGAAGCCCCGGCUAACUACGUGCCAGCAGCCGCGGUAAUACGUAGGGGGCAAGCGUUAUCCGGAUUUACUGGGUGUAAAGGGAGCGUAGACGGCAGUGCAAGUCUGGAGUGAAAGGCGGGGGCUCAACCCCCUGACUGCUCUGGAAACUGCGUCGCUGGAGUACGGGAGGGGCAGGCGGAAUUCCUGGUGUAGCGGUGAAGUGCGUAGAUAUCAGGAGGAACACCGGCGGCGAAGGCGGCCUGCUGGACCGUGACUGACGUUGAGGCUCGAGAGCGUGGGGAGCAAACAGGAUUAGAUACCCCCGUAUA